UUUGAGAACAUGAAGGAGAAGAUAAACGCAGUGCGUGCAAUAGUUCCUAAUAAGAGCAACAAUGAAAUCAUCCUGGUUCUGCAGCACUUCGAUAAUUGUGUGGACAAAACAGUACAAGCAUUCAUGGAAGGUAGUGCCAGUGAAGUACUCAAAGAAUGGAUAGUAACAGGCAAGAAAAAGAACAAAAAGAAGAAAAGCAAACCAAAACCUGCAUCAGAAGCAAAUAGCAGUGCCCAGA